AACGAACGCUGGCGGCAGGCCUAACACAUGCAAGUCGAACGCUCCAGCAAGGGAGAGUGGCAGACGGGUGAGUAACACGUGGGUAACCUGCCCAUCAGAAGGGGAUAACACUUGGAAACAGGUGCUAAUACCGUAUAACAAUCGAAACCGCAUGGUUUUGAUUUGAAAGGCGCUUUCGGGUGUCGCUGAUGGAUGGACCCGCGGUGCAUUAGCUAGUUGGUGAGGUAACGGCUCACCAAGGCCACGAUGCAUAGCCGACCUGAGAGGGUGAUCGGCCACAUUGGGACUGAGACACGGCCCAAACUCCUACGGGAGGCAGCAGUAGGGAAUCUUCGGCAAUGGACGAAAGUCUGACCGAGCAACGCCGCGUGAGUGAAGAAGGUUUUCGGAUCGUAAAACUCUGUUGUUAGAGAAGAACAAGGAUGAGAGUAACUGUUCAUCCCUUGACGGUAUCUAACCAGAAAGCCACGGCUAACUACGUG
rnacentral:rRNA from 1 species